GACAGAGGUCCCGAGCGUUAGGCGGAAUCACUGGGCUUAAAGCGUGUGUAGGCGGACUUCUAAGUACCUUGUGAAAUCCCACGGCUUAACCGUGGAACUGCUUGGUAUACUGGUUGUCUUGGGCCAUCUAGGGGCUACCGGAACAAAUGGUGGAGCGGUGAAAUGCGUAGAUAUCAUUUGGAACGCCAAUGGUGAAAAACAGGUAGCUGGGGCUGUGCUGACGCUGAGACACGAAAGCCAGGGGAGCAAACGGG
rnacentral:rRNA from 1 species